rnacentral:rRNA from 1 species
AUUGAACGCUGGCGGCAUGCUUUACACAUGCAAGUCGAACGGUAACGCGGGGCAACCUGGCGACGAGUGGCGAACGGGUGAGUAAUGCAUCGGAACGUGCCCGGUAGUGGGGGAUAACUGCUCGAAAGAGCAGCUAAUACCGCAUACGACCUGAGGGUGAAAGGGGGGGAUCGCAAGACCUCUCGCUAUUGGAGCGGCCGAUGUCGGAUUAGCUAGUUGGUGGGGUAAGGGCCCACCAAGGCGACGAGCCGUAGCUGGUGUGAAAGGACGACCAGCCAAGGUGGGACUGAGACACGGACCAGACUCCUACGGGAGGCAGCAGUGGGGAAUUUUGGACAAGGGACGCAAGUCUGAUCCAGCCAUGCCGCGUGCGGGAAGAAGGCCUUCGGGUUGUAAACCGCUUUUGUCAGAGAAGAAAUCUUCUGGGUUAAUACCUCGGGAGGAUGACGGUAUCUGAAGAAUAAGCACCGGCUAACUACGUGCCAGCAGCCGCCGUAACAC